UUAGAGUUUGAUCCUGGCUCAGGAUGAACGCUAGCGGUCGGCCUAACACAUGCAAGUCGAGCGGCAGCAUUGUGUAGCAAUACACAGAUGGCGAGCGGCGAACGGGUGCGUAACGCGUAGGUAACUUGCCCUUAACCGGGGAAUAGCCCGACGAAAGUUGGAUUAAUACCCCAGACAUCUAGAUAAGGCAUCUUAAUUAGAUUAAAGUUUCGGCGGUUAAGGAUAGGCCUGCGUCCCAUUAGCUAGUUGGUGAGGUAAUGGCUCACCAAGGCAACGAUGGGUAGGGGGUUUGAAAGGAUGAUCCUCCACACUGGCACUGAGACACGGGCCAGACUCCUACGGGAGGCAGCAGUGAGGAAUAUUGCGCAAUGGGCGAAAGCCUGACGCAGCCAGACCGCGUGUAGGAAGACAGUCGUAAGAUUGUAAACUACUUUUAUCUGAGAGGAAACCUACGGACGUGUCCGUAGCUGACAGUACCAGAUGAAUAAGCACCGGCUAACUCCGUGCCAGCAGCCGCGGUAAUACGGAGGGUGCAGGCGUUAUCCGGAUUUACUAGGUUUAAAGGGUCUGUAGGCGGUAUAAUAAGUCAGUGGUGAAAGCCCUGAGCUCAACUGAGGAAUUGCCAUUGAUACUGUUAUUCUUGAGUACGGUUGAGGUAGGCGGAAUGUGUAGUGUAGCGGUGAAAUGCUUAGAUAUUACACAGAACACCGAUUGCGUAGGCAGCUUACCAAGCCGUAACUGACGCUGAGGCACGAAAGCGUGGGGAUCGAACAGGAUUAGAUACCCUGGUAGUCCACGCCGUAAACGAUGAUUACUCGUUGUGCGCGAUAUACAGUGCGUGACUGAGCGAAAGCAUUAAGUAAUCCACCUGGGGAGUACGUUCGCAAGAAUGAAACUCAAAGGAAUUGACGGGGGCCCGCACAAGCGGAGGAACAUGUGGUUUAAUUCGAUGAUACGCGAGGAACCUUGCCCGGGCUUAAAUGCAGAGCGAUCGGUGUCGAAAGAUGCUUUCCCUUCGGGGCGAAUUGCAAGGUGCUGCAUGGCUGUCGUCAGCUCGUGCCGUGAGGUGUCGGGUUAAGUCCCAUAACGAGCGCAACCCCUAUUGUUAGUUGCCAGCGGGUGAUGCCGGGAACUCUAACGAGACUGCCACCGUAAGGUGUGAGGAAGGUGGGGAUGACGUCAAGUCAGCACGGCCCUUAUGUCCGGGACUACACACGUGUUACAAUGGCAGGUACAAAGAGCAGCCACUCGGUGACGAGGCGCUAAUCUCGAAAAACCUGUCUUAGUUCGGAUCGAAGUCUGCAACUCGACUUCGUGAAGUUGGAUUCGCUAGUAAUCGUAUAUCAGCAAUGAUACGGUGAAUACGUUCCCGGGCCUUGUACACACCGCCCGUCAAGCCAUGGAAGCUGAGGGUACCUGAAGUCUGUAACCGCAAGGAACGGCCUAGGGUAAAAUCGGUAACUGGGGCUAAGUCGUAACAAGGUAGCC
rnacentral:rRNA from 1 species